GAAAAGUUAAUAGCCAAUAGAAUAAGUGGCUUUAGCUAAUUUCAGCCAAUCACCUUGAUUGUCCCGCCCUUAUUUGAAUUUUCCCUGAACCAGCUAGUUAGGUUGAUGAGACCCGCUUGCUAACCUCUGCUUGAGGUAAACCUUGUGUGAAGACUGGGUGAGACAGCCGAGCAGAGGACUGACGAUAGUUUCCCUUCCUGUUUUUACUGAACUGUGUUUGAAGAAACGCUGAAAUGGAAACCAACCUGGGUUCCAAACUAGCAUAAAAAAACAACCAAACUCCAACUGAAAGGCAGAACCAGGUACUUCUGGGUUUUAGAAACGACCCGUCUGAUGGUUGCUCAGCAUCUGCAUCUCUUCUGCUCAGACAAGUGAAGAUCUACCUGG